AUUGCAUGGAAGGAACACAGAGGAUGCUGGUAUAUGAGUAUGUUAACAAUGGAAAUUUGGAGCAAUGGCUCCGUGGAGACAAUCAAAAUCAUGAAUAUCUUACAUGGGAGGCACGAGUGAAAAUUCUUAUUGGAACAGCCAAAGCGCUCGCGUACCUUCACGAGGCCAUUGAACCAAAAGUGGUGCACAGGGACAUAAAGUCUAGCAACAUUUUGAUUGAUGACAAAUUCAAUUCUAAAAUUUCUGACUUUGGACUUGCGAAACUGCUUGGCGCUGA